CAGCAGCGGCUCUCUGGAGGCUUCUGCUCCAAAGGCCGGCGGCGCGCUCCUAAUGGCUGGCUGACCCCGGGCGUGCGAACAAACGGGGCUGUCUGGCCGCCAAUCCACAUCGCAAUCCACAAAAGAGGCCCAGCUCCUGCUUGCCCUCGCCUGCACGCCCAGGUUCUUUUGGGGGUGGGGAGGGGAGGGAAGGAGAGGGAGGCGGUUUGUGUAUAUGGGGGGGGGGUCUCUAUAGACCCCAGCGCCGCGCGUCGGGAACCGGAGGUGCUGUUGGGAAAGUGGGACGUAUCUAGAGACACUGUGGAUGGGCGUCGGUGGCGGCGCCCCGCUCAACCGGGCACGAGAGUCCAUUUCAAUAUUUGGAAGAGCUUCUUAAGAAUGGACCACAUUGGCAUAGGUGCCAACUUCAACUUUCCUAGUGGGUGGCCUAUUGUGAAAUCCCCCCCAAGGCCAAAGAUUUUGAGCUGCUCAGGCCUCACGGGCAUUGCUGUCUCUUGGGAUCGAUGAUAGUUUGAAAUGAUGGUGCCUACCAGCCAUAGUAGCUCAACAUAUUUGGUGAGGGAGUUGUCUUCAUUUAUAAUAAGCCUAGCUUUCAAGAAAAAGUUCUCAUCAGAACCCAAGAAACUCAGCAACAGCAAAUAUUGAUACAUCUUGAAAUCAUCCAGCACCUUCUGGUCUCCAUUGUAAGACAACAACAGAUUUCAGACUUCUCACCCCACUAAUUUUGUACUUUGCAUCCAGCCUUGAAAGAAGUCCUGGGGAAUUUUAAAGCAUACGCUCACAUUUUUGUGAUAUUUGUGUUGGCCCCUAAUAAAGAGUUACUACAUUGGGAACCCUGAUUGGGUUGAAAGAUGGCUUUAAAAUGUUUUAAACAAAUAAAAUGAUUUCUAUUUGGGACCUACAUUGUUUACUUAAUAUGUGUAACCACUUUAGGAAACCAGAGGGUUGCUGGGAGAUAUCAGGAAAAAAUGUGCUUCUCUCUUGCUCUGUCACCAGAGUUACAUCUAUGUGCGCUGAGAUCUUUGGAAAUAAAUACCAACACCUGAAGCUUUAUGUGACUAACAAACACUGGAUGUUUUACAAUCUUCAGAGCCACAUGAGCAUCCUAAGUAAAAAAAAGACCUUGACUUGCUAAAAUCAGCAUCAUCUGCAGUCCUGGCAAGGAUGAAGGAAUGGAUCCACCAUAAAUAAGGCAGUAAUGUGAAAAAUGUGAUUGGUGUCUUAAGAAUAAAUGACAAGCAACAUAAGUCAUGUUAACUUUAUUGGGUGCAAUGACUACUGUUUGCCACUAGAGGCUGCUCUUGAUACACCAAAGGGUCAAAGAGAAACUAACGCAGGCUGCGCCUGGAUUGGUUAAUUUCUGCCUUCCUUUAACGACUGAAUUUGUGCUUUUACUUUCGUUUUCUUCAUUCAGCAGAAAUUGGGACACCAGCAUUUAAAACCAUUUGUAUUUGGGAAAAAAUUCCCUCACAUUCUUAUAAAUAAGGGGUAGCAUGCCACAUUGGAUGGAAGGUGGAGUCUGGCUGUUUAUGACCCACACUAAAUGCUGAAGCGGAGAGAUUUUGGACAGAAUAAAUCCUGUUCACAUCCCCUGGGAAGUUAAAAAAAAAUGUGAAGCAAUUUACAGUCCUUUUAGGGUUUUUUUUUCUUCAAAUUAGCACGCAAUCAUCCCAGACCAUUUCUAAAUACCAAAGCAAUGUAUUCCUGAACACAAGCCAUCAAGUCCAGACUGUGGAGAGUUCUACAGGUAAAAAACUAUUUUUAACUGUACCCAGAAGCUCACUAAACAAUCACAGAUGUGCUUUCUCUCCCCACCCAACCCCAAUUCAGAGCCUGGCAACAGUAUUCAAUUCAAAUUGCCUGUGUUUGAGUAAGGAAACACAGAAGAAGAGCUUGGGUUUAUAUCCCACUUCCUCCGCUGUAAGGAGUCUCAAAGGCGCUUAUAAAUUCCUUCCCUUCCUAUCCCCACAUCAGACAACACCUUAUAUAAGAACAUAAGAACUAGCCUGC